ACGCUCGACACCUACGGGAGGCAGCAGUUGGGAAUAUUGGACAAUGGAGGAAACUCUGAUCCAGUGACGCCGCGUGAAGGAAGAAGGUCUUCGGAUUGUAAACUUAUUUUGUCAGGGAAGAAAAAAUGACUGUACCUGAAGAAAAAGCACCGGCUAACUACGUGCCAGAAGCCGCGGUAAUCUGAGCGGGCUGGCAAGGC
rnacentral:rRNA from 1 species